UACGGAGGGUGCGAGCGUUGUCCGGAAUCACUGGGCGUAAAGGGCGCGUAGGCGGCCCGGCAAGUCAACGGUGAAAGCUUGGGGCUCAACCCCGAGUCGGCCGUCGAUACUUCCGGGCUGGAGCACUGUAGAGGCAGGUGGAAUUCCGGGUGUAGCGGUGGAAUGCGUAGAGAUCCGGAAGAACACCGGUGGCGAGGGCGGCCUGCUGGGCAGUAGCUGACGCUGAGGCGCGACAGCGUGGGGAGCAAACAGG
rnacentral:rRNA from 1 species